GGGGGCACAGCUCAGCGGCAGAGCGCACGCCUAGCACGCAUGAGGUCCUGAGUUCCACCCCCAGUACCUCCG
rnacentral:tRNA from 1 species